UAUAAUCUCUCUGUUCUGUAAACAGAUUGUACAGAAUAAUUCCUGAGCUUCCCAAGCAGUAGAAGAUCAAGAUUAUUAUGGGCCAGGUUCCUUCAUCACGCUUUCACACACCUGCUGAAGACCAGGGACCUAAGUCACCUAACCGUCUUCAAGCACAAGAGGCAGAAAGGCAAAGUAUAAAUAUUCCCCAUGGAGAGACGAGACAAUCAAUGAGUCCUUCGCAAUCUCUUUCAUCACACUAUUACCCACCCAAUGAAGACCAGGUACAUUUGAAUUCAUUUCGUUAGAAGUAAAACAAUUGAUGGGAAAACCUUUUAAAUAGAAUUUGUUCUCUUUUUUAUAUUAUUGCAUCUAUGGUGCAGGGUUACACCCAUCUUCAUGCAUUAGAGGCUGAAAGGCAGUGUAGAAAUAAUCAUCAAAGAGAGAGGCGACAGUUAUUGAGUUCUUCACAAGGAGCGGAAAUUUUAGCCCAAAGACGUGCCAACUAUCAGAUACAACGACAAAUGGAGAACACAAGUGUAACAAAUCAAG